rnacentral:rRNA from 3 species
UACGAAGGGGGCUAGCGUUGUUCGGAAUUACUGGGCGUAAAGCGUGCGCAGGCGGCUUCUCAAGUCAGGGGUGAAAGCCCAGAGCUCAACUCUGGAAUUGCCUUUGAGACUGAGUGGCUUGAGUACGAGAGAGGUGAGUGGAAUUCCCAGUGUAGAGGUGAAAUUCGUAGAUAUUGGGAAGAACACCGGUGGCGAAGGCGGCUCACUGGCUCGUAACUGACGCUCAUGCACGACAGCGUGGGGAUCAAACAGG